rnacentral:rRNA from 1 species
GUGGGGAAUAUUGGACAAUGGGCGAAAGCCUGAUCCAGCCAUGCCGCGUGUGUGAAGAAGGUCUUCGGAUUGUAAAGCACUUUAAGUUGGGAGGAAGGGCAGUAAGUUAAUACCUUGCUGUUUUGACGUUACCAACAGAAUAAGCACCGGCUAACUUCGUGCCAGCAGCCGCGGUAAUACGAAGGGUGCAAGCGUUAAUCGGAAUUACUGGGCGUAAAGCGCGCGUAGGUGGUUCAGCAAGUUGAAGGUGAAAGCCCCGGGCUCAACCUGGGAACUGCCUCCAAAACUACUGAGCUAGAGUACGGUAGAGGGUAGUGGAAUUUCCUGUGUAGCGGUGAAAUGCGUAGAUAUAGGAAGGAACACCAGUGGCGAAGGCGACUACCUGGACUGAUACUGACACUGAGGUGCGAAAGCGUGGGGAGCAAACAGGAUUAGAUACCCGAGUAGUCC